AGAGUUUGAUCCUGGCUCAGAGCGAACGCUGGCGGCAUGCUUAACACAUGCAAGUCGCACGGGCGGGGGCAACCUCGUCAGUGGCGGACGGGUGAGUAACGCGUAGGUAUCUAUCCAGGGGUGGGGGACAACCGCGGGAAACUGCGGCUAAUACCGCAUGAUGACGAGAGUCCAAAGCCUUACGGGGUGCCCUUGGCGGA
rnacentral:rRNA from 1 species